rnacentral:lncRNA from 1 species
ACAGCUCCUAAGAAUUCUCUCACCUGCCUUCUGCCCUUAAGCUCCGGUAGAUUGCAAAUAACCUGCUUUCUUUCUGUUCCCGAGCUGCCUUCGGACCCGUCGGAUCGUAAAUCCCACGUAAGGUACCUGCCGUCGGAAGAUUUGAACUUUCUACUUGGACACCUAAUACCCACAGUCCUCCAGCUGGAGCUGCGUUCGGACCCGUCGGAUCGUAAAUCCCAUGUAAGGUAUCUGCCGUCGGAAGAUUUGAACUUUCUAAUUGGACACCUAACACCCACAGUCCUCCAGACAGAAAGACAACAGGUACAAAGCCCUAAGGAUUAUAAAGGUAUGCUGCUUACCAUCAUCUUAGUGACCAAGGCAGCGAAGCUGUUUCUGUACCUUGGAACAGUCUUCCCUGACAAGCCAGAGAACAGUGAUAAAGCCACCAGCCUUGGGAUCAGGACUGAAAAGGCAAGAGUGAUGGAGAUUUCUCCUGCGCUAAGCCAAGAGAAGGUUUCAGCACUUCAGACAGCUCCCACCGAAGUAGCCGCGCUCCCAGCUGCUUGCAGAUGUUGAAAAGGAAAGCCUCGGUUUGUCUUGAGGUUGUCAGCAGGUGCAAGACACGUAAUAAAAUGCAAUGUGUUCCUAA